UUUUCUUUUGCUCCUUUUCGCUCCUGUGUUCUUGUGCUCUUUUGAUACAUCCCACCCCGGUCUUGCAUCAGCCUCAUCAGCCCUGCCUUGUCUCCUUCCCUGCUCUUUUGUUUCCUCCACUCAUUACCUUCACCUGUGUUUCUCCGCCUCAAUCCACCUGAACCUCAUUACCCCAUUAGUUAGCCAUUAGCUCGGUCUUUGUUGAGUUGUAAGUCGCGUUUUUGCUCCUUUGCUUGGUGUUACUGUUCUGAGUGGUGUGAAGUGCUUAUGCAAACACUGACUUGCCACCUGGCAAUAAGUGUCUGAGCAUGCAUGUUUACUUCAAUACAUACUUUUACAAGAUGUAAAAAUUGUGCAGAGUUUGGUUUGUAGUUAGCAUAUAUCGUCACAUUACAUCUGACAAGUUGUUACAGAAACCUGGGAUGUGUGUUUAAUGGUUGUGUGUGUGUGUGUGUGGUGCAAAAAUCAAGUGAGAGCGAAACAUAGCCACAGGUCCCGUUGACGGCGAUGUUAGCCGGACCGCUGCCCAGGUUAUAACUAGAGACAACAUGGGAAGACACGCAGCGAGAUACCUGAAGAUUAGUGCACCAUCCUGAAGCCCCAUAGACAGGAAGUCACUGUUGGGUCUCAUUGGACUGUCUCCUCGCCACAGCAACAGGCCGUCCUUGGCUGUGCUCUUGAAACGCAUGAAGAGACUGGUCCUGGACCCGGACACCCUGAGGACAGCAACACGUUUUCACAUGUAUUACAAGUGCGACUGAAACAAGGACUAAACAACACGUCUAAAGGAGGAGUUGCAACCAAACAUAUCAUGUGAUGAAGCCAAAAUAUACUUUUCUAGCACCGACCUUU